rnacentral:rRNA from 1 species
UGGGGAAUUUUCCGCAAUGGGCGCAAGCCUGACGGAGCAAUACCGCGUGAGGGAGGAAGGCUCUUGGGUCGUAAACCUCUUUUAUCAGGGAAGAACACAAUGACGGUACCUGAUGAAUCAGCAUCGGCUAACUCUGUGCCAGCAGCCGCGGUAAUACAGAGGAUGCAAGCGUUAUCCGGAAUUAUUGGGCGUAAAGCGUCCGCAGGUGGUUUUGGUAGUCUGCUGUCAAAGCGCGAGGCUCAACUUCGUAUCGGCGGUGGAAACUCCAAGACUAGAGCUAGGUAGGGGUCACGGGAAUUCCCAGUGUAGCGGUGAAAUGCGUAGAUAUUGGGAAGAACACCAGCGGCGAAAGCGCGUGACUGGGCCUGAGCUGACACUCAUGGACGAAAGCGUGGGGAGCAAACA